CCUACGGGGCGCAGCAGUAGGGAAUCUUCCACAAUGGGCGAAAGCCUGAUGGAGCAACGCCGCGUGGGUGAAGAAGGUCUUCGGAUCGUAAAACCCUGUUGUUAGAGAAGAAAGAGCGUGAGAGUAACUGUUCACGUUUCGACGGUAUGUAAACAGAAAGCCACGGCUAACUACGUGCCAGGAGCCGCGGUAAUACGUAGGUGGCAAGCGUUGUUCGGAUUGAUUGGGCGUAAAGGGAACGCAGGCGGUCUUUUA
rnacentral:rRNA from 1 species